ensembl:snoRNA SNORA73 Small nucleolar RNA SNORA73 family
CUAAUCUGUAUGCACCACUCAAAAAGAAUAAUAAAGAAAUAAUAUUUACUCCAAGUGGUGCAGGGGAGCAUAGGGCUCUGCCCCGUGAUGUACAGUCCCUUUCCACAAAGUUGGAGAUGAAGCUGGGCCUCGUGUCUGUGCCUGCAUAUACCUACAGCUUCCCAGAGUCCUGUGGACAAUGACUGAGGAGACAAACCAUUCAGGAGACAUGU